CAGCAGCCGCGGUAAUACGAAGGGGGCUAGCGUUGCUCGGAAUGACUGGGCGUAAAGGGCGCGUAGGCGGCGAUCAAAGUCAGGCGUGAAAUUCCUGGGCUCAACCUGGGGGCUGCGCUUGAUACUUGGUUGCUUGAGUGGGGAAGAGGGUCGUGGAAUUCCCAGUGUAGAGGUGAAAUUCGUAGAUAUUGGGAAGAACACCGGUGGCGAAGGCGGCGACCUGGUCCUUGACUGACGCUGAGGCGCGAAAGCGUGGGGAGCAAACAGGAUUAGAUACCCCAGUAGUCCCUGUCUCUUAUAC
rnacentral:rRNA from 1 species